GAUGAACGCUGGCGGCGUGCCUAAUACAUGCAAGUCGAGCGAACAGACGAGGAGCUUGCUCCUCUGACGUUAGCGGCGGACGGGUGAGUAACACGUGGAUAACCUACCUAUAAGACUGGGAUAACUUCGGGAAACCGGAGCUAAUACCGGAUAAUAUAUUGAACCGCAUGGUUCAAUAGUGAAAGACGGUUUUGCUGUCACUUAUAGAUGGAUCCGCGCCGCAUUAGAUAGUUGGUAAGGUAACGGCUUACCAAGGCAACGAUGCGUAGCCGAACUGAGAGGGUGAUCGGCCACCCGGGAACUGAGACACGGUCCAGGCGCCUGCGGGAGGCAGCAGUAGGGAAUCUUCCGCAAUGGGCGAAAGCUUGACGGAGCAACGCCGCGUGAGUGAUGAAGGUCUUCGGAUCGUAAAACUCUGUUAUUAGGGAAGAACAAAUGUGUAAGUAACUAUGCACGUCUUGACGGUACCUAAUCAGAAAGCCACGGCUAACUACGUG
rnacentral:rRNA from 1 species